ACUCCACUAUCCCCAGCUUCAUCCCAUUCAUCAGAUUCCACAAUUGUCCUGGAGUCCACAAGAAAGAGGAGGAACCCAACAGGGUUAAUGGACCAGAAUGAAGCAAGACAGAAAGUUGAUUGUGUUCUGAGGGCCAAUCCAAAGGGUGAGGAAAUCUUCAAGGAGUAUGAAAAGACCAAAACACUAACAGAUGGUGAACGUCCUGGUUGCAGACAUGUUAGAGCUACAUGGGUAAGAAUUGGAGGUCACUUCCCUCCCUUUGUCAUCACAACAGAUUCAUGUGGCGCAGCUAAAGAAUGCUAUUCUGUGUUGCUAUAAAAGGGGAAUUUAUCCUUUAACUUCUUGCAAAACAUACACGCUUGCAAAGUAAAUUGAUUUAUUUGAAAGGAUGAUUCCAUCGUCAAGACGAAUUAUGCACUGGGAAUUGUGACACUUUUUCCAUACCUCCAAGAUCCUUUCUCCAAACAUGGAUAUGUAAGUUCUGUCUGAAAACCCAAACCAGUGUGUUUUUAUAUUUUCUUCCCUUUUAUAGUUUUAAAGUUAAAAUGAUCUUGUUUUAGAUGAGUGUUUAUAGGUUGCUCAGCUUUGUAUUUUCCACUUGUUUUUGUAGUGUUAUAUAGUCAUUGUGUGAACUUACUGUGUUGAGUAAUUCAUUCUUGAAGCCAAGCACGAGAUGCCUCUCUUUGGGUCUUUUCUUAAACAGGAACACUACUAUGAUCCUGAGGGUAAUAGUGGCUUCAUUGCAUGGAGGAUCAAGACAGUUCAACGUAACACCUGUGCUGGCUCCCGGUGUCAUUCCAAGACUGUUCUUCAGGAUGGUCCAAAAACCAGACGAGAAUCUCUGUUAUUCUGUCAACAGCAAUUUGGUGAGGAGUGCAGGGAGGCGAUAUCUACGAUACGAUAUUCCACUGAUGAAUCUGUGGUCAAAGAGAAGAUGAGCGACUUUCCAGUAUCGGCAGAAGGUGGUCGGUGAGGAUGCACCAUCUUCAGUCCUGGAUUUGUUCCCUCGUUUCCUUGAUGUACCUGGAUUGGUAAGAAAAUCUUUAGCUUUGGAAAUAGUUUUGAAAAGGAAAUUUUCUCUGUAGUUAUUAAAUGAGUUCACUGGUACAGUAGAGAAAGGAGUUGUUCAAUGAUCACCGUAACACCAACAGGCCGGUCCAAACUGAGAAAUUCAACGUUCUAAUCUUUUAUAUCCCAAAUGUAUGCAUAAAUAACACAGCAGAUCUUAAUUUUUAGUAUUUGACCUUUUAUCCAUUUAUGUCCGUUAUGUUUAAACCUGUAUAAACCUUGUUUAUAGAUCGACCAGGAUUUCUCCAUGAUGUUUGGUGACGAAGUGUCUCAGAAGUUCCUGGCAAAGUGGUCAAUAUUCUUCAAGCCAAAAAUCAUUGCAGACUGCAAGACUCUUAAGAAUAUGGGCGAGCUGCUGUCAGGAACUGAACCUGAAUCUGAGGACUACAAUGCGAUAUGUCCUCAAUCCUUUUGCAGCUGCAUCUGCUCCCUCUAACCUCAAGAGGCCAGAAAAAAAAUAUCCAAGAUCAGUUCAGCUCAAGCAACCAGCCAUCUUGUGAGAUAUCUUAAGGUAUGCAAAAGUUAAUAUUUAAACAUCAGAUCUUAAUUUUAGGAACUCUUGAGGUGUAGAUUAUUUUGGGAUUCUGAGACCUGCAUCUCAUUUUGCUUACUCCACCUGCAAACAAGAUGUGACGGUGCUAGUGAUAAUGUAAAAAAAACAUGCAGUUUUAUUUUCAUAUUUAUUUUAUGUCCCUUUGCUGACCUUCAGGAAGGAGCCAGUGUGACUACCUUCAUUGAGAGUGCUGACACAAGACAACCAUUCCUCCUCUGCAUCAGUGAGCGAAAGAAGGAUAUCCCAAAGUUCUACGUUAUUAUCGACCAAAAGGCGAUCCCAUGUAAGGCACACACAUCAGUGGCAGCUUUUGAUGAACUGUUCAAAGUUCACUAUGUCUUCAGUUUCUCAUAUGAUGAAGCUCUUUGUAAUUUCUACACAUUUAUCCAAACCACUAUCUAUAACAUCGAUGUCGGAAGAGCAAAGGAGAGCCCGCGUGUUAAAGAUCUUCGAGCAUGAUUGCUGCAGUGAGAUUAACAGCCUUGAAGAUGUUCACAUGUUUUGUAUGUAAAGCACACCUCAGAACUUGUUUGGUUCUUCGUCAACAUUUAAAAUUUCAACAUGGUUUAUAUCUUAGCAAAAAGUUACAUUUAAAAUGUGGAGAGCCAGGUCGCCCGUUAUCAUUUUGUACUUAUAGUGGCUUCCGAAAACACCUCAGCAAGGUACAUAGUCACACUAUGGAUCAAGAGAUUGAUACUAAUCAGGAUCUUUCCACUCAGGGACAAUAUGAGGCGGAAUGUUCAAAUGAUCGCCCAAAUUCUGUUGCCACUUUACAUACUUCACAAAGUUCUGUUGUUACAAGUCAGCUAUCUUCAGUGUGUGGAUCAAUUGUUGCUCAUUUGCAAGCAUCAGGUCUUUCUGAAAGUGCUGUCCAAACAAUUGUUUGUUCAAUGGAAGAAGUUGUUAAUGAUGUUAAAAUCCAAGCAUGAGAUGCAGUUCUUAAAACUGAUACUCCUGAAAGUACAAGUUCAGACACUUGUAGAAGAACUGAACACUGUUUUGAUCAAUUAAGUAAUCCUUUUUCAGCAUUAAACACUGAGUCAAGGAGACAUAAAUAUUAUGAUGAGAAAUGGGAAAUAGUUGAACCUAAAGAAUGUGUUCUUGGGGUGAGAAUGGAUUUGCGCAGAGAUAGAACUACAGGCAGGUUCCCGUAACGGACAAGUGCAUGUAUGUACCCAUUCUGGGUACACUGAAAUCCAUAUUCAAAAACGGUCAAGUUAGAGAGAGCUUUUUACAGGACAAACAGAGUGGAAUUGGAGUUAACAAAGACAUUAAUGAUGGGUCGUAUUUCCAAAACCAUGCACUGUUCUCGCAGCAAAAGCACGCUUUACAGAUUCUACUCUAUUACAACGAUUUUGAAACUGCUAACCCUCUAGGUUCCAAGAGGGGGAUCCACAAACUUGGUUGUAUCUAUUUUACUCUAAAAAAAAAAAAAUCUUCCACCCAAGUGUAACUCUGUACUAAUUAAUAUACAUCUUGCAGCUCUAUUCUACACGGAAGAUCUUAAGACAUAUGGUUUUGAUGUGAUACCAAAGCCCCUUAUUGAUGACCUGAAAAUCUUAGAAACCGAAGGCAUACAGCUUCCUUGUUUUGAACAACCUUUGUUUGGCUCAGUAAUUCAAGUAACAGGAGAUAAUUUGGCUUUAAAUGGCUUACUGGCAUUUGUGGAAUAUUUCAGUGCAACUAAUUUCCAUAGGUUCUGUUUAAUUAGUAAGGAAGAAGUUCAAUCUAUAUUUACUGAAGAUCAUUCUGGGUUAAUUUUCCAUUCCAAAGAGGUUCAUACUGAACAUUGUAAGGCACUAAAUGAAAAUCCUGAACUGCGGUCAAUAUAUGGUGUCAAAAAGUCAUGUGUGCAUAAUUCAUUACAGUAUUUCCAUUGUACUGAUAACUAUGCUGUUGUCAUCAUUCAUGAUCUGCUAGAGGGUGUGGUACAGUAUGAAC